GCAAACUCAAGAGCUUUCACUCCACACUUGCCCACACGUUUUUGCCUUCAAGCUUCCAAGCUUUCAAGUGCUCAAGUGUCUUAGCUUUCUAAAGCUUCAAAAGCUCUCCAACUUCUUCUUCUAAUCUUUUUGUUCAUCUUUACAAGCAAGAAGUGUUGUUUGCUUUAAUAUUCCACUUCUCUAAUCACCUCUUGUGUGUGUCCACUUUGGUUGAGAGGGUUGUCUCAAUAGUACCAAAGUGUGAGAGAAGGUUUUCGAGCUCAACCAUAAAGCUCUAGUUUGGUUUUAUAGAGUUUCCGGAAAAACUCUUAGGUCGAAUCUACCUUGAAAGAUUUCUAGAUUUUUAAGAGUUUCUUGAUACUCUAAGGUAUUAACUUACCCGUAAAAGUUAGAGGUUCUUAAGAGUGCCCUCGAUACUCUAAGGUGUGAGUCUACCCGUAAAAGACUGGUUCCUAAGCGAAGUAGCCUUAAAGCUUAGAGAGGUUUUUAAGAGUUCCUUGAUACUCUAAGGUACUAACUUACUCGCAAAAGUUAGAGGUUCUUAAGAGUGCCCUUGAUACUCUAAGGUGUGAGUCUACCCGUAAAAGACUGGUUCCUAAGUGAAGUAGCCUUAGAGCUUAGAGAGAUUCUUAAGAGUUUCCUUGAUACUCUAAGGUUUUGCCAUAACCUUUAGGCGAGUGAAUUCCGACAGUUGGUCGGGACUGGAUUAGCCCUUGUUUGGGUGAACCAGUAUAAAUCUCUUGUGUUGUUCUUUGUUAACUUUAGUUUUUAUCUUCCAUCUAAAAACAACUAAACAACACUUAAUUGAAAAGGAUCCCUCUUUCAGUUAUCUGGUCAAAUACAGAGGUUGACUACUUUACGCAGAUCCCUCAUCCAGUUAUCUGGUCAACUAUCUGAGGUUAUAUUCAUUGCUUUAAAUCCUUAUUCAUAUAUUUGUUCAAGCAUUUACUUAUUAUAUAUAUCCAAUUAUCUGGUCAUUUACUUGCUUAUCAAUAUAUACAGUUAUCUGGUCAUUUACUUGCUUAUCAAUAUAUCCAGUUAUCUGGUCAUUUACUCUACAAUACAAUUUGUGUUUACAACAUAACUUAGUACUCAUAUACUAUAGUUGUUUGUAAAACACUAUCAAGCAAGUUGACUCAGUAUUCAUAUACUGUGGUAAGCUUCGAAGAGUAAUAAUUAAGUUAUUAUAUCAAUCAAAGUCAUAAUAUCUCUAUAUCAUUAUUGUUCAACCAUUUGUUUAUUAAGUGUUUACAGGUAAUUCCGCAAUCAACCUGUAUAAAUCGAAAAGAGACUAUUAUCCCCCCUUAUAGCCUCGGAUCACGAUCCAACAGACAUUUCAAGUGUGCUCAAUGAAUCUAUUGUUCUUAGGGUUGCGCAGUCGGAAAAACGAAGUAGGGAUUCGUUCAUCAUAUUUUAAUCUUAUAAAUUUCAACCAAAUAACUAUCCGGUUAUUUCUGCCAAAAUAGUAGAGGGAAGGGAUGCGUUCUUUUUCCCCCCAGAUUUUACAUAGUACAAUACAUAGUACCAUACUUCUGUUACCCUAAGUCGUACUGUUACCGUACAUAGUACCAUAUUUUUUUCCCCUGACAAUGUUAACCCUUAAUAUUCUUAUCACAGAUAAAGCUGGUGCUCCAGUUGCACGUCUAAUUAAUGGG
rnacentral:lncRNA from 1 species